GAUUUUGAGAGGAGGAGCUGACCCCCGAGACUCUACUGAACCACAGCGUGUGACCCUGACAGGACCUCUGUCCACAAAGCCCAGGCGAAGACUUAUGUCCCCAUCAUGCUAACAUCAGGCUUGAAAAGGCUCCAGAAAAAGGGGCAAAGGAUCCUUCCUUGGAAAGAGGAAAAGCAGACUCCCUUCCAGAAUAAAGAGGAAGGGGAAGCCCAGCUCAUUCUUUCCUUGGGGAUUAGAGCAGGUGUGUUUUCAUGCCCAUUUGACGGAUGAGGAACUGAAGCAUAGCGAGGCUGAAUCACUUGCCCAAGGUCACGUGGCUGACAAGUGGGAGAGCUGAGAUUGGAGCCCAGACCACCUGAUCCCAGCACCCGAGCCCUUGCUGCCACACGGCCACUAUACUCGGUAAGUGCUUGCAGUCUCGCUCCUGUCCCCUCUCUUCCCCAGCGUCCUCCAGAACUUUUGUCCCUAACAGUAAUUUGACAGCUACUGUAGAACGCCUGGGAUUACAGUUUUAUGUGUUUGUCUCCUGUACGCAACUCCUCCCGAAUAUUUCUGUUCUCUGACAGCAGCAUAAUGAUACUUCGUGAGUCAUGCCCGGGUUGGGCAGGAAGGUGUGACAUGUCAAAGUAGUCAGGCGGGACUUCCAGGGGCCUCAGCAGGCCUUGGACCCACAGUCUCGGGGAGCAGUCCCAUCCUCCAGUGUUUGGCCUCGGCUUCUAGAAGAGC
rnacentral:lncRNA from 1 species